UACGUUAUUGGUAUACCACAGUGUGCGUCUUGGAAGAGUGUUGCCAUCGUAUACGCUAAAAGCUGAUUGGCUCCGCCAUCUUUUGCUCAGAUUUCCGGAUUAAUUUGGAAGGGGUAAACAGAUGAUCAGUUGUCAGUUGUUUAUUUUUCGUUUACUCUGGUUUAACCUCACUUAACUAGAUAGAUCGAGAAAUAUUAAAUUACUAUUACUAUUAUUCAGGUUGAAAAAUGCCUUCUUCUAAGGUAAAAGGUUGCGAAGUCGAUUGGGGAAAAAUAAUGUGAAAAUGAAUUCUUUCCCAAAAGAAUCUGAACGACGGAAAGUGUGGAUUAAAAAUAUAGGGUUAAAACAAGAUCCAAACAAAUAUGCUGUUGUUUGUGAAGAACACUACUUCUGACAUGUGGAAAAAAGUUGGCAAGAUGGCAGCAGAAAAUUAAAAUGCAAUGCUGUACCAACAAUAUUUAGAGAAGAAAGCGAAAGUAUUUAAUUAUUUAUAUUGGUUUUUUGUUUAUUCACCAAUUUAACACCUAUAGAUAUUUGUAUAACAAGAGAGCGAAGUGCACCUUUUCCUCCCAAGAAUAAAGCUUACUAGUUUACUACAGUAAUCAUUCAAGGGAGGAAAAGGCACUUCUCCCAUGUUAUACAUUUUUCCACCUCCCUCAAAUAAGUCAUUUUUCCAUUUUUAAAAUAUUUAUAUAACUGUUGAUUGAAUACAUGAAUCAUAAUUGAAUACAGGAAUUUAUGUAUUCAAUCAACAAUAGAACUAACAAAA
rnacentral:lncRNA from 1 species